GGCAGGUAUGAGAAAUUUAGUGAAGACCAAAGGGACCCAAAUCCUUUAAAAACUUAGAUCUAUAAGAGCUAUAUUGUUCUCUCUGGAAGUGCCUAUAUGGUGUGUCCUUACCUCACUCUUUCUAGAAACCUCUGCCUGUUAAAACUUGCUUGAAAUCUUCCCUGCUGCUAGAGAGCCACAUGGUGGCUUCAGCUCAGCAGGUCUCCUCGGCAACACCCUGACCACUAAACUCCUCUGAGUGACUUUAGAGUUCACGCGUCUCCUAAGCCAAUUUCAGUUGAGUUGAAGGCUGAGAUGAAAGGUUGGAAGGAAUCACGUGCCAUCCAUGCCACUCAGACUGCUGACAUGACACAGUGAUCACUGUCACUUACUUAUUGGCAGCCACAGCACUAAUGGCUCCCAGAAGAGCGGGCUUGGUCACUUUCCCUCCAAAUGCUCCUCCAGCUCUUUUCAUGUGGCAGGCGAUUCUACUUCUUGGGACACUGAGUGCUGCAGCCACAUAUUCCUAUAAGAGAAAUGUCCACUCAAAUGCUUUGCUGUAACUGCUUUUGAUGCUGCCCUAAGUUUUUUAGUAACCCUUGGAAGAUGCCUGCUGUGUGGAACUGAUGGUGUUGGUGGUGAGUGGCAAUGGUGAUCUGGACACAUGCACCUUAUCCCUGGAAGCCCAGAACCCAAACCUCUGGCAAAAAGGGACCUCAGGGAUCUUAUUACCUCCCUCAAUUUACAGAAAAGAAUAUUGAUGCCCAGCAACUUUCAAGAGAUCACAAGGCUGCUUAGAGCCAGGAUCGUUUGUGUUUCCAUGUAAAAAUGUUCCUGUCCUUCCACAUGGACCUCACCUGUAAAGCAUGAACACAGGACAAUGUUAAGUCACAGUUAUUCAGAGACCUUCCUUAAGAAGACUGAUGACUUCUGAUCGGAAACUCAAAGAGACCCCUGAUUUAAGAGAGAAGUGGAGAAUCACAGAGGUGGAGGAGUCAUUGGUUUCCAGUUUUUGUGGUGUGCAUGUAAAUCUGUGGAUGUUACAGUGGCAACUGAUAAUCAUUUUGGUCUCUCCAGCAAAGUGUUCAAAUCAUAAACCAUGCACAAAUCACACACCUCAUUCUGUGCAUAAAAAAUCUCUCCGUGAUGGUUAUUAUCCCCUGGAACAUCCUCUGCUGUGAUUACAUCAGCCACACCUGGAAGUGACAGGGCUUCUGAAGUAUCAAUUGAUCUAGCAGGGAAAACAUGAUGGUAGAUAUUAAAGAUGCAGAAGUAAGUUCAUGGCACAAUAUAAACGAUUUCUCAAGUAGAAAAAAAUAUAUGUGGACUUCAUAACUAAAUAAUGGACCAAUAGUCUAUGUUGAAAAAUAUUACUAUCUAGCAGGUGUUCUAACUCUUGGUCAUAGAUUCUUUAAUAACUAUGCUUAAAAAUGACUUUUCUCAACUGGUCCUAAGCACUUCAAUGUCAUGAACAGUGUGGCUGUAAAUAGGGACUUUUGGCUGGUAUUAACAAAUGCCAUGGGCAUCUCUGGAAAAAAAAACAAAAACUUUUUCUUAUCCAGAAGAAGAAAUGAGUAUUCUAAAUUGACUUAAAUAUGCAAUAGCCUCUCAAUUUGAAUGUGAAACUGUGAAUGCAUUUUAGUAACAUAUGGGAACAUCUUUUGUUUCCUUACAUGAUCUUUGCAUGAGCUCUGGUGCUGGUGACUACAGCAAGGAAGAGUUCCUGGUCAAGGCGGGGCAUGUCAUCACAAAAUAUGGCUUCCCCUGUGGCAUGUUUAAUGGCCGACUGGUGCAUGACUGGGUGGCCAACUGGAUCUUGUGGGGAUUGGUGGGGAUCCACACACUGUUAAUGAACAAAGCAAGUAAAAUUUA